AUCAAGUUUCAAUAACUGGCUAGUUAUGUUUCAUUCUACCUUAAAUCUGGAAAGCAAUAGAAAUUCCCUAAAAAUGCAACAGCAAGUUGUCUUUAUACAAUUCUUUGCAUUGUAAUUUUUUUCUUUUUUUCUUUUUUUUUUUUUUUGAUUCGUUUGUUUUGAGACAGGGUCUCACUCUGUAGCCCAGUCUGGAGUGCAGUGGCGCAAUCAUGGCUCACUGCAGCCUCAACCUCCAGGGCUCAGGUGAUCCUCCUACCUCAGCCUCCUGGGUAGCUGGGACUACAGGCACGUGCCACCAUGCUCAGCUAAUUUUUUGUAUUUUUUGUAGAGAUGGGGUUUCCCCAUGUUGCCCAGGCUGGUCUCAAACUCCUGGGCUCAAGUGAGCUGCCUGCCUUGGCUUCUCAAAGUGUUGAGAUCACAGGUGUGAGCCACUGCACACAGCCUAAUUUGUUUAUUUAAGCAGAAUUGAGCAAACGUCUCCAUUCAGCUCCCACGUGCUUUAUUGAAAAUUAUGUCAACUUGAGUAUAUUAAAAAGCUACAUAAAAUAACCAGGUGGCAAGAAGACAUCCUAAGUGGCCCCUACACUAUGCGGGCCCAGCCUAGGUCUCCUUUGCUCCUUUACCAAAUUCCCUUUGUCUUGCCACAGGCCCCAGGACCUCCAAGCAACUUCCUCUCCUUCAUCAGCAGUUGCCAGCAGUCAUCCUCUGGGCUCUGCCAGCAAGUUGGCAGCAGGUGUGGGGGGUGGAACACAAGUUUAGAAGUCACAAAAUCAGUAUGCUGGGCCCUACAUGAUGAGCUGUCACUGAGUGAUGCUGGCAUUGCAACAGCUUCUGUAAACAGGAUAACUUCCUGCUAUGAGUCAGCUAAACAUUCCUGAAUCCAACCAUUCUACCCCUGGCAAACUCCAGUAUCUGAUGCUCUAUCACAUGUGCAAACAAAGUCACUCACAUGGGUUUCAACAAGUACACUGCUUAGUGAAAUAUGGGUCUUUAAAAACAUACUGGAAUUUGAAAAAAUAAACCACACACUGAUGGUAAUGUCUUCCUCUGAAUGAAUGUGUGUAAAACUGUAACAGGCACAAAAACCAAAGCCAAAGAAUCAAAGACUUACAUCUGUCAAACCUAUUCCACAGAAGCCAUUUCAAUAUCAGGGCUAUUUCUUAGAUAGCUUUAAAAAUGUAUCUCACAAUUUAAAUUUGAAAACAAAGCAAAGCGCAAACACCAAGUAGAAGUUACACUACAAGGACCAUGCAGGUCAGCCAGGUGUAGAAGAUAAACGGUCAAAAUAUGCUAUGAAGAAGAAAACUAAGAAAGGUACA
rnacentral:lncRNA from 1 species